rnacentral:misc_RNA from 1 species
AGAACACGUGCUCGUAGAGGAGAGCACGAGCGGGCAAGAGAGGCUCAGCCUCCUUUACACAAACACAACCACAACCCCCCCACCAUCUUGUCGUUUUUCGGUUACCGUCUUCUCACCCACAACUACGUUAAUCGCCACCACAGCACCUCACCGCUGGCGAAGAGUGCUCUGUUUCGUUUUGUUUGUCUUUUUCGCCCGGUCGUCACACCUCUCCUCGAAUCCGCUGGAUUCAGGAAGGUGGCAGCGGAGGUGUUACGUCCUUCGUGCGACGCUGCCGGGAGAGCGCAUUCGCAAAACGCGCGAAGCAGCGAAGAACGUACGCGCCUCUUCCCGUCGAGGACUUCGCAAGCGUGCUGGUGUAGAGAAGCUUCGGUUGCCCAUGGAAUUCAAAAGACAUCAUCAUGAGCACGGUAUGCUACCUCAUAUUUGUAUGCGGGACGCUGCAGCGUGGCGAGAACAACUACCCGUACUGGCUGGCCGAUGAGGCCGAGGCCGUCUUCGUGGCCCGUGCUCGCACCGUUAGUCGUUACCCCUUCUUCGUGAACCUUCUCCCUGACCACCCCUGGUGCUUGCCAUGUGUGCUGGACUUCCCUGACUGUAACGUGCCGGGAUGUGCACAGGUCGAGGGUGAAGUCUUUUCCGUCUCGGCGAAGAUGAAGGCGUGGCUUGAUGUACUGGAGGACAUCUCCGGCGGGACGCAUGUGUCUGUGCCCACGGUGGUGGAGGUGUGCGAGGCUCCAAGCGCGUCAUUUCGGGCCCGCGGCGGAACCACCGCGGCGUCCCUCAAGUGGCCGGCGGCAGUGGACGGAGAGGCGGUGACCGUGGUGGCUGCCUUGUACUUCCGCGCGAAGGGGUACCCGGACGACUGGUCAUCACCGACCCCCCGCAGCAGCUCCCGUCUCAUUUCCAAGUUCUCAGCUGCCAGCAUGUUGCGCCUCUAUGGCGACCGCUUCAACGGGGGCGUGCCGGCGCAUCUCAUGGCGGACGGGAACUAUGCCAAGGCAAGGGCCAUGCAGACGGAGCUGAAUGCGCUCCCUGAGGCGCACUGGCCGCCCUCUACCAUUGCCUACCACGCUGCCGCCGCCAAGGCCCGUGUGGCUCAGCCAGAUGAGGAGCACACGGGUGCCACGCCGCCGCCCAUUCCGUGCUACGGUGCCCCACUCUUUCCCAAACCGAUGAUUCUCUUCAUCAUCGACGGUAUCGGCGACAAUACGUACUGCGAGCUGGGCGGGCGCACACCGCUGGAGGUGGUGGCGGGCGUGCCGGCUGUGUCGCAGUGUGCGCCUUCUCCUGCCACCGAGCCUCCUACAGCACAAUCGUUGAGUGUGAUGGAGGGGGUGCUCGCAGACAGUGCCAAUGCUGCGUUGCGCGAGACGCUCAACGAGUAUGUUACCCCUGGCAUUAAUGUUGUGAGCCGGCACGGCGUUAGCGGCCUCAUGGAUCCCUACAUGGCUGGCAAGAGCUGCGGCAGUGACACAGCCCACCUCAGCAUAUUCGGGUACCCCCCUACCAUGUACUACCGUGGCCGUGGCGCCUACGAGGCACUGGGGGCUGGGCUGGAGCUGGAGGAGGAAGACGUCGCUUUCAAGUGCAACUUCUCUACUUUCGCAGACCGAACGGAGGAGCUGUGUGGCGACGAAGACCCCGCGAUGGAGGCGACGGCCUUGUCGUCGACAUCUUCGGCAGGCCAGUAUGUCACCCACCGCCGGUGUGACCGCGACUUCACGGUCGAGGGCCCGGUGCUCUGCAACGACCUCAACGGCACGACGGUGGCUGCUGAUCUGCAUGGCAUCCCGUUCGACUACCCCCACAUAAUCAAGAUGCAGUACGCUACGGAGCACCGCUGUGGGGUAGCGCUAAGCGGGGCACGGCGAGUCAUGCGCGCGAACGGGUCGACGGAGUUGCUCGGCAUGCUGUCGGACAAGAUCACCGGUACAGAUCCACUCAUGGACGGGCGACUGCUUCUGCACUGCAAGCCGACGGUGGGAAAGGGUCAUCCCGAGUACCCCGCCGCCGUCUACACGUGCCGGCUUGUGGAGGCUGCCUCAGCUGCCUUGACGCGCAGACUCAAGGCGCACCCGGUGAACGAAGCUAGGCGCCAACACAACCGCGCCGUCGCUGCGAGACUCGCGAAUGGAUCAGGUGGGGGCGGAUCAGAGACCAUGGCGCGUAAGAACUUGGCCAAUCUCCUCCUGUUCCGCGGCGCUGCCAAGAAGGGGUGGGUGCCGACGUUCGCGGUGCGCCACGGCCUUCACGGGCUGAUCCUAGCGCCGACCUGCAUUAUCAAAGGCCUGGGCAUCUGCUGCGGGCUGCGCGGUGAGGUGUGCCGCGCAUGCGACCCUACCGGGCAAGAGUCUCUCCGUGGCGCCACAGGUGAUUAUCACUCGAAUCUCAUGGUCAAGGUGAGGGCCGUGCUGCACGCGCUUCGAAUCCAGUGCCCGCCAUCCCACGAGGCCGCGGUGACUGCUGCCGUGCAGUCGAAGGCUACGACAGCGCUACAGGCGGGACGCAUAAUCGAUCCGCACUACAACUUUGUGGUGGUGCACGUCAAGGGCGUCGACAACGCCGGGCACGACAAGAGCCUGCAGCUCAAGCUGGAGAUGCUUCGGCGGUCUGGGCUGGCAAUGGAGGCGCUGUGGAGGGAGCUGCCUGCGGGGGCCACCAUGGCCGUCAUCGCGGAUCAUUCCACUCCGCUGGGAAUCGGUGACCACUGCUGCGAGCCGGUGCCGGUUUCGGUGGCAGUGAAGCGGACGACAUCUGAGGGUGCGCUGUCCGCGUGCCCGACCGACGGUGUCGAGUACUACAGCGAGGUGAAGGCCGCGUCCGGCGGUUUGGGGCGUUUCCGCGGCGAAGAGCUGAUCCCUCUCAUGAAGCGAGUGCACCAUCACUAUCACUACGUCUGACGCACCACGGAGCGACAUAGAGAGGAGUGAACGUGUGGAACGCCGCGCAUGGCUGAUCGGCAGCGGCGAACAGGGUAAUUUCGUCUCUCUUCGAGCGUCUCUCUCUUUCUGUGUGUGUGUAUGAGCGGCGUAUGUUUUUCGCUCUUUCGUUAUCUGCUGCUUGGUGAGCGCUGUUGCGGUGCCUGCGAGGUGUGUGGGUGUGGCCAAGGGCGGCUGCUGCUGUGGUGCUGCAUCAUCUCUACUACGCUCAUCACUCGUGAGUGUGUGUGUGUGUGUGAAUCAGUGCAUGCACAAUCGACUAGACAAGCACGUGAAGCACACACACACACACAAAGACACGCUUACUCACGCUAAUGACAGCCGGUUGC